rnacentral:rRNA from 1 species
AUUGAACGCUGGCGGCAGGCCUAACACAUGCAAGUCGAGCGGAUGAGUGGAGCUUGCUCCAUGAUUCAGCGGCGGACGGGUGAGUAAUGCCUAGGAAUCUGCCUGGUAGGGGGGGACAACGUUUCGAAAGGAACGCUAAUACCGCAUACGUCCUACGGGAGAAAGUGGGGGAUCUUCGGACCUCACACUAUCAGAUGAGCCUAGGUCGGAUUAUCUAGUUGGUGAGGUAAAGGCUCACCAAGGCGACGAUCCGUAACUGGUCUGAGAGGAUGAUGAGUCACACUGGAACUGAGACACGGUCCAGACUCCUACGGGAGUCAGCAGUGGGGAAUAUUGGACAAUGGGCGAAAGCCUGAUCCAGCCAUGCCUCGUGUGUGAAGAAGGUCUUCGGAUUGUAAAGCACUUUAAGUUGGGAGGAAGGGCAGUAAGUUAAUACCUUGCUGUUUUGACGUUACCAACAGAAUAAGCACCGGCUAACUUCGUGCCAGCAGCCGCCGUAAAAC